ensembl:snRNA Gm23540 U1 spliceosomal RNA
CUACAUACCUGGCAGGGGAGAUACCAUGAUCAUGAAGGUCUUUUUCUCAGGCUGAGGCUUACCCAUUCCACUCAGGAUGUGCUGAUCCCUGCGAUUUUCCUCAAAUUCGGGACACUCAACUGCAUAAUUUGUGGUAGUGGUGAACUGUGUUCACACUCUCCCCUG